GGGAGAGAGAGAGGGGGGAGGGGGGUGCUUGCGGUCUGUGUUGAGUGUCAACACGGUGGCCAGCUGGAGAGGUGAGGCGAGAGCCGUGCGUUGAGGCUGAGCAGGCGGGCUCUGGAGGACCGGAGAGUAGCUCCACCGGAGGCUAGGCAGUGGAGCUCAGGUGGGGCAGAGGAAGGCUGCAGGCAGCCCGGACUGGGACUGUGUGAGACCGGGGGAGGCAGCCCGGACGGGGACUGUGUGUGGACGGUGUAGGGUGAGGACUGUCUGGAGGUUCAGGCACGAGGAAAGCUGUAGGCCGCCUGGCUCGGACUGUUUGUGUGAACGGUGUAGGUUGAGGACUGUGUGUGUGAACGGUGUGGGUUGAGGACUGUGUGUGUGAACGGUGUAGGUUGAGGACUGUGUGUGUGAACGGUGUAGGUUGAGGACUGUGUGUGUGGACCUGCAGGUGGAGGACUGUGUGUGUGGACCUACAGGAUGAGGGCUGUGUGUGUGGACGGUGUAGGUCCGGGUUAUGAAUGCUGGAGUUGAAGGCCAGAGCAGAGCUCCACACUAAGGCUGCCACAGAGGUAGAGAGACGCUGUGGACGGUGCAGGGAGAGAGGGGAGGGAGAGGCGGCAGAGGAGGAAGAGGAGGGAGAGAGGAAGAGGAGGGAGAGAGGGAGAGGAGGCAGAGGGAAAGAGGAAGAGGAGGGAGAGGAGGGAGAAAGGAAGAGGAAGGAGAGAGGAAGAGGAGGGAGAGGAGGGAGAGGAGGCAGAAGAGGGAGAGAGGAAAAGGAGGGAGAGAGGAAGAGGAGGGAGAGGCGGCAGAGGAGGGAGAGGAGGCAGAGGGAGAGAGGAAGAGGAGGCAGAGGGAGAGAGGAAGAGGAGGGAGAGGAGGGAGAGAGGAAUAGGAGGGAGAGAGG
ensembl:lncRNA